rnacentral:rRNA from 1 species
GAUGAACGCUGGCGGCGUGCCUAAUACAUGCAAGUCGAGCGAACAGACGAGGAGCUUGCUCCUUUGACGUUAGCGGCGGACGGGUGAGUAACACGUAGGUAAUCUACCUAUAAGACUGGGAUAACUUCGGGAAACCGGAGCUAAUACCGGAUAAUAUUUCGAACCGCAUGGUUCGAUAGUGAAAGAUGGCUUUGCUAUCACUUAUAGAUGGACCUGCGCCGUAUUAGCUAGUUGGUAAGGUAACGGCUUACCAAGGCAACGAUACGUAGCCGACCUGAGAGGGUGAUCGGCCGCACUGGAACUGAGACACGGUCCAGACUCCUACGGGAGGCAGCAGUAGGGAAUCUUCCGCAAUGGGCGAAAGCCUGACGGAGCAACGCCGCGUGAGUGAUGAAGGUCUUCGGAUCGUAAAACUCUGUUAUUAGGGAAGAACAAACGUGUAAGUAACUGUGCACGUCUUGACGGUACCUAAUCAGAAAGCCACGGCUAACUACGUG